UCUCCGUUGGUGAACCAGCGGAGGGAUCAUUGCUGGAACUGUGUCCGCAAGGACACAACCCCAGAUACCCUAUGUGAACUUAUACCUUUAAUCGUUGCCUCGGCGUUGAGCUGGGAGCCUUUUGUGCUCUCCCAAUUUCACCUUGUGUGAGACUGGAGCAGGCCCGCCGGCGGCCCAUUAAACUCUUGUAUUUAUUGUAUCUCUUCUGAGUUAUUCAAAAACAAAUGAAUCAAAACUUUCAACAACGGAUCUCUUGGUUCUGGCAUCGAUGAAGAACGCAGC
rnacentral:misc_RNA from 1 species